AAACCAAAACGCACCGUACCAUGCUCUCUGCUUCGACCUCGACAUUCUUCGCCGCUCCAAUUCUCUCCGCCACCCCUCCCCCUCCCAAAACCUCGACACGUGUACAUUUCAGGCCAAUAAGCGCCUUCGCCGCCGGUUCCACCUGCACCUCGGACGAGACAGCUACGGCGUCGUACCUCGGCCCUCAGAAGAUGACCUCGCUGUACGAGAUCCUCGGCAUCCCGGCGGUCGCCACGUGUAAGGAGAUCAAAUCGGCGUACCGGCGAUUGGCUAGGGUUUGCCACCCCGACGUGGCGGCGAUCGAGCGCAAGGACACGUCGGCUG
rnacentral:lncRNA from 1 species